AGUGCAGGAGGGUCCCUCUUUGACAGGUCUGAUUAGUGGUGACCCCCCCAUCAGAGUAGAGACAGAGCUCACGGUUUAAAAGUUUCAUCGGGGCCAGGCGUGAUGGCUCACACCUGUAGUCCCAGAACUUCAAGAGGCAGAGGCAGAAGCAUCACUCCAGCCUAAGAGUUCAAGGCCAGCCUGGGCAACAUGACAAGACCCAUCUCUACAAAAAAUUUAAAAAUAAAAAGAUUUAAAGCUA
rnacentral:sRNA from 1 species